CCAAUUAGUGUGAUAGCGUUAAUGUUUUUCCCCUGUAGGUUUCACCAGAUGUCAGGGUCGACCCAUGAUGAUUCUUCCUACGCAAACGCGUUUCAAAACUUUUCACGUAACGUCGAGUAUUCAGACAGUAUUGUGAAGAUGCCAGUCCCAGGAGCCUGCUUUGUACGCAGAUGAGUUACCAACAAAUUUCAAGAUACCACAUAACAUAUGGUAAAAGUUCCAGUUUUUGGGAUGCUGUCUUUGGAGCCACCACUAAAACUGCAUUCAGACUGCGAACCAGCAGCUGCCUCAGGAUGUGAUGGAGGAAGAUCUGGGAGGUCCUCUCCACGGUGCAGUAGGGGAACAGCGCUCAGAGGAUUCCUGCAGCCCAUCAUAGAGCACCGUCUCAUUGGUGGCCCCCAGCACCAGGGAAUCCUCAAACGAGCACGACCAGAGGGUAGAUGUUGAUGUGGAAGGGCAGCAUGAUGCGUCUGAAGGGCUUCCGGUGGUCUCGGGGAAGCAGCGCCAGCCAUACUUUCAUUCCUGCCUCACCGCAGGACAGCCACAGGGGCUCCAGCAGGUGGCACUUUCCUGCAUUUUGUUGAGCAAAGAAAAAAACAAGCUCUUGAAGCAUUGGUGCAGUAGCCUGGGAACCAGACGAAUCUGCCAAGCUCGUUUCAUUUGCUCUGGCAGAUACAUCUGGCCCUCCUCCCAUUCACACAGAUUACCCCUGUCCAUGAUCUUAUGAUCUUGUUGGGCCAAUCACAACUGUUUAUCUAAUAUGGGGUGCAUGUCUGAAGGGUGAAGCAAAGUGAGCAGAUUAAAAUAGUUUGUGAGUAAGGAGUAACUACUAGGAAUAGCAUAAUGUAUUCUUUCAAUUAUUUUCAAAUAAAAUAUACAAAUACACACCUGUCCCCACCACAGUUACACUGUCAUUCUGUUGGAAGCGCUGAGUCAUGUUAUACUG